GAUGCAAUCACCAGUUACUACCAAAAGAUUAAGAAUAUAUCUCCAGUUCAAAGUCGCAUAGAUUAUGUAUCUAACAUUGAAGUGUUAACAAACAAAACAUAGACACGCAACCUCUAUUAAAAAUAACUCAACUCAGUUCAACUAAGCACUAGCCUCAGACUAUUUGGGGUUAGCUGCAUGAAUAUGAAUCCUUUUUUGCAUUACGUUCUAUCAGUUAAGAACUCCACCAGUCCAGCUAUAUCAUAUUUGACUCUGUGUGUUAUGGAAAGUCAAUC
rnacentral:misc_RNA from 1 species